rnacentral:lncRNA from 10 species
UUUUUCAAAUAUCCUCUGAACGUUGACUUAGGUGCACACACCUGUGCUUCCAUUGGCAACAAAAGCUUUGAAUGCACAGGACUUCCACGGCAUGAAAUGCAUUUACAUACAUUACAUAAGAGAGAAGCAAUGAGCAAGUCUGUUGCUGGGAGAGGCUCACAUCCUUCUCACCAAAUCAAUCUGUAACUUUCAAAUAGCUCUGCUGUAUUUCCUAGCAACAGGAGUAAACACUGUACUACAUCCAGUGCCCAAGAUUUGUAACCACGUUAAUCUCACUGGACAAAGAUGGGAGAUUGAAACAGGAGCCCCUGCGAUGGGGGAACAGAGCCAGGGAGCAGGGGUUGGACAGAACCCAGGUUUGAGAAAACAACCUUGUGAACCUUCUAUUGGAGCAGCAAUAAAGAUCUGAGCUAAGUGUCGAGGGAGGCUGAGGAGGUGGUCACUAAGUCUGUCUUAGGCAUCCCAGGGUCUCCUCAGAGUCCAAGCCUGAAGUCCACUGCAGGGGUCACCAGCCACCUGUGGCCACAUUGGAAUGUGGCCAUUCUGAAUUGAGGUUGGUGCAGUCACAAGACAAUGCUUCAGGAGAAAAUCUGGGGAGGCGGUCUCAGGGCAAGAGGCUUUUAAAACAGAUUUUUUAACCUGGAGUCCAAGGAGUCCCAGGAAAUCCACAGACGAGAUUCAAUGGAUCCUUGAAAUCCCUAAAAUUAAAUACAAAGCGGGCAGUAUCACAGGAAGAUGACUGGAAUUUAUAAGAUUGAUGACCAAAGAAGGCAGCUAUAAUGUUUUAUUCUCAAGAUGAUGGUUACUCAUCUUAGAAUAAAAACAACAACAACAAAAAAUAACAGAUGAAUGGGAAGAGCCCAAUCAAAGCUUUAUUCUACUCCUCAACAACUCAGGAGUUAAGCCUAAAGCUGCAGAUGAAAAUUUUGCCACCAUGAAGAAAAGAAGAAAUCAGAAUUGGAUUCUUUCUGAACUUUUCCUUUACAGUAGCCAGUAUAUGCCCUUUCCUACUUGAGCAAGUAUAAACUGGGUUUCUGUGAUUUGCAACCAAGUGUCCUGACAAACACAAGGAUGAAAGACAACUGUGUCUCAAUAAAGGAAAAAUAGUUUAUUUUUAUGAGUGGUGGAUUUAAAAAACCUACAUUACUGUGACAAGAGUACCUUAAAACAUUUAAGUCUACAAAAGGCACUUAGGGACUUUAUAGCAAACUCUACACUUAUAAUGAAAAGCCAGACCAGAUCAUUUUAAAAAAACGUUACUGCACGAGAUAAUGGCACAUCCACUCGUUCAAUUAACAUUUAUUGAGUGUCUUCAGGGGUUUUAGACUUGUGCAAUAAAAAUGAUAAAAACGUAUUCUUUGGUUUGAGCUGGUCCAUCCAAGGUCGUUCCAUAAAGAGCAGCUGUGUAUGCUGUUCAGACUAAUUGUGUGAAGCUGGAGAGGCCAGGUGUUUCUGUCUGGCCCAGCAGCUGCACUUUGCGGUAAGGGCACCACCUGAAUUUCAGUCUGGCCAUAAAAUGAGGCUGAAGAAACAGCACCUUGCAUGAGCUUUUAGGUGAAAGGCAGAACAG